rnacentral:rRNA from 1 species
UACAGGGGGUGCAAACGUUGCUCGGAAUCAUUGGGCGUAAAGCGCACGUAGGCGGUUCGUUAUGUCGGAUGUGAAAGCCCUUGGCUUAACCGAGGAAGUGCAUCCGAAACUGGCGAGCUAGAGUACGAAAGAGGAUCGCGGAAUUCCCGGUGUAGAGGUGAAAUUCGUAGAUAUCGGGAGGAACACCGGUGGCGAAGGCGGCGAUCUGGGUCGAUACUGACGCUGAGGUGCGAAAGCGUGGGGGAGCAAACAGGG